GCCGCGUUAGCUCAGUUGGUAGAGCUGCUGACUCUUAAUCAGUAGGUCGGGGGUUCGACUCCCUCACGCGGUACCA
rnacentral:tRNA from 1 species